rnacentral:rRNA from 1 species
CAGUUUGGCUUCGAGGAAGCUCACAGAAGCACUUCGACGGGCUCCAGCUCAUGUCCAGAUGGGUGUCGGGACUGCUGGAAAUAUAUAUGGUCGACUGAUGUUCCUCCCUCGGUUCGUAAUUUCGCAUGGCGGGUCGCUACAAACUCUCUGCCUACAUGGAGUAACAAGCAUAUAAGAGGGCGGGAAACUAAUGAUUUGUGCCCUGUGUGUUCGAUAAAGUCUGAGGACUGCUUCCAUGCACUAUGUCGCUGCAACCUUUCGAGAGCUCUCUGGGAUGCUAUGUCAGAAGUAUGGACUCUACCGAAUAUUACUACCGUGCAGAAUACAGGUGUCGAGUGGCUGCUGCAUGCUCUUGCUCCUCUACCAGAUAUUGAGCGUUCGAUGCUUCUCAUGACAUUGUGGAGGGCGUGGCACAUACGCAAUGAGAUUGUCCAUAAUAAAUCCCCGCCACCCAUGGAGGCUUCUCGAAGGUUCUUGAUGAGCUACUUGGACUCUCUAAUUGGCAUUAAAACUGAUCUAAUUGCUGAUCCUAGCAAAGGGAAGUCAACCAUAACAUAUAUUCCAGUUCGGCCACAUGAGGUAAUGGUCGUAGCAGACCCCAAGUGGUCUGCUCCUAAGCCCGGCUGGGUUAAGUUGUGUACUGAUGGUUCUUUUGCUGUUAAUGGAUCGGCCGGUGCCGGAAUGGUGUUAAGAGACGACAAGGGAGCUAUCAUCUUCUCUUCCUGUAGGCAGUUAUUUUUUUGCCAGGAUGCACUUGAAGUUGAAUUAUGUGCAUGCAUGGAAGGUUUAUCUUUCUCCAUCCAGAAAAGUGAGUUACCAGUGCAGAUCGACAUGGAUUCUAUAAUUGCAGUGAAAUUGAUCCAGGCUUCAGAGGUUGAUAGAUCGGUAUAUUCGUCUAUCAUCAAGGAGAUUAGAUAUCUUAUGUCUCUACGUGAAAAUUGUAUUACUCAUGUAAGUCGUAGCCAAAAUAAAGUUAGUGAUAGCUUAGCUAAAUUUGCUCGUAGUGAGGGUAGAACCAUGACUUGGUUAGGUUCUGGUCCUCCAGAGGCUUUGGAACUAGCUGCGAUUGACUGUAAGGACUUUGGUGGAUGA